rnacentral:rRNA from 1 species
UACGGAGGGGGCUAGCGUUGUUCGGAAUUACUGGGCGUAAAGCGCACGUAGGCGGCUUUGUAAGUUAGAGGUGAAAGCCCGGAGCUCAACUCCGGAACUGCCUUUAAGACUGCAUCGCUUGAACGUCGGAGAGGUAAGUGGAAUUCCGAGUGUAAAGGUGAAAUUCGUAGAUAUUCGGAAGAACACCAGUGGCGAAGGCGACUUACUGGACGACUGUUGACGCUGAGGUGCGAAAGCGUGGGGAGCAAACAGG